AACGAACGCUGGCGGCGUGGAUUAGGCAUGCAAGUCGAACGCGAAAGAGGGGGGUAACUCCUCGAGUAGAGUGGCGAACGGGUGAGUAACACGUGAGAAACCUGCCUUCAGCAGGGGGAUAACACUCCCAACGGGGUGCUAAUACCGCAUGAGACCACGGAUUCGCAUGGAUCUGGGGUCAAAGGUGGCCUCUGCUUGCAAGCUACCGGCUGAAGAUGGUCUCGCGUCCCAUUAGCUAGUUGGUGGGGUAAUGGCCCACCAAGGCGACGAUGGGUAGCUGGUCUGAGAGGAUGGUCAGCCACACUGGGACUGAGAUACGGCCCAGACUCC
rnacentral:rRNA from 1 species